UGUGUGUGUGUGUUCUAAGAGACCUACUUUAAAAUAUCUAAGAACUAUAUGUCAGCCCAUAAACAAGUAACCCCAGGCUUACAUAGUAAGUAGUGGGGGUAAACGGUGUGUGAUAAAAAAAAUUGAACAAGUUUUAUACCACACUGGACAGUAUCAGGAUAUAGUUUGGCCUUGAUGAGAACUAGGACUCGUUCAUGAGGAAUCGGCCCUCUUUCAUGCCUUUAUAUUCAAAUAACUGAGCCUCACUUGAUGUCUUUCAUUAAGGAGUAGAGGAGUGAGGAGGAGGGACCCAUAAACAGAACACUGAACAAUAUGUUAGCUACUGGACAGGGACACGUAGAACAUCAGUCUAAGGGCACAUGACCUCCCAAUGGCAACUGCAGAAGUAGAUCAACAGAGGAAAACACGUCCAACUCCUUACUUCCUGAGACUCUCAAAAUGCCAGUGUGCUUCACUGCCCCUCCCUGCUGUCUUUUUGGUACUGUUGCCUUUUGAUUCUAGGCCUUGAAUGCUAGAAUCCUCCCAUCUGAGUUGCCUUAUCAGUUCUUUACAAUCUACCUAUGGUUAUUAUCACUUAAAGCACAAAUUUGAAGGAGAAAAAUAUGAUAAGCCCAAGGGAAUUUGUAUCACGCUGCCUCAAGCAUUAAAAAUAAGUGUACAUACAGGAAUUGCACGAUAUGCACAGCCUAAUUAUCACCAUUGGCAUUUGGUGAGAUGGGACCGAGUACACUUCUGAAUUAUAUUAUUUUGGAAACCAGAAGUUAGACACAAUAAAUGAUGUCAAAAACCAGUAAUGUACAUGUAAUAUCUAUACAAAAGAGCAUCUAUGUGAAAUGCCCCAGCAAGCCAGGUGUUUCUUCCUUGGAGCCAUAAACACUAGCUCUAAACACUGUCACUUUAGUCCCAAACUUACGUUUUGUUGGCAUACUCCCUUCACUGUAGGAAUUAACUCUGAAGUGGUAUUUUUUUCCCAAAUAUUUUUUGUGAAAAUGGUUAUGUUGUUUUUUUUUUUUGUCCGUUUUGUUUUUAACUAUAAUAAAAGCCUAAUCGCAGUUAUCUGUCAAUUCUCAUUUAAUUGAAGCAAAUAUUUUGUGGCGCGGUCCACUUAUGUUUCACAUAAAGACUCCAUUCUGUAUUGCUGACAUGUACACAGUGAACAUGCAUUUGUACAGACAAGCUCUUCAGUUAGAGUGUUGAGAACUAAUGUAAAACAUGGUCAACACCAUGGUAUUAUUUCAGACUGCUCUUGAUGCUUGGUGGGAAACAUCCUUUCUGACAGGCAGAUUAGGAGCUGAGGACAUGUAAAAGUAUGCUCCGGGAUGGAGUUGCCUCCAGGAGUGCAGGAUUGGGGCGGGGGUGGGAGGUGGUGCAGGCACAAGCCCACUGCUCCUUUCUGUUCUUUUCUUAACCUCUCUUAAUUUUUAGGAGCCUGGGAUAAAGAAGAAAUUAUAACAAGUUAAAAAUAAAUGAUUAGCUGACUCUAAUAUAGAAAUUAUUCUUAGAAAUGAUUUAGUCCCGCUGGGGUCGGGAUCGCGGCAGAGGAGGCUGCGUGGAAGCCUCCCUGCUACUCGCGCUGUGAGCAUUACAUGCUAGAGCCAAGUGGGCCAGCCAUCAUGUCACGUAACGGGCAAGGAGGAGAAACAAAGGAAUAUGUUGGUAACCUGGGAACUGGUGCGGGUAAAGGAGAGUUAGAAAGGGCAUGCAGUUACUGUGGACCCUUAAGAACUGUAUGGAUUGCCAGAAAUCCUCCUGGACUUGUCUUUGCGGAAUCUGAAGACAGGAGAGAUGCAGAGGAUGCCAUUCAAGGAUUGGAUGGGAAAGUGAUUUGUGGUUCUUGAGGGUUGAAUUAUCAACAGGCAUGUCUCAGAGAUCUCAGUUUGAUAGGCCAUCUGCCCGUCAUCCCUUUGAUCAUAAUGAUAGAUGCUGUGAGUAUGGUGAAAAGGGUCAUUAUGCUUAUGACUGUCAUCGCUAUAGCCGACAAAGAAGAAGCAAGUCACAAUCUAGAUCACAUUCUUGAUCCAGGGGAAGGCGAUACAUUCGCCCACGCAGCAGGAGUUGCGGAAAGGGGUUAAGAUCACCAUCUCCUCGACAAGCAAGGUCUGUGUCUCUUCGUAGAUCAAGAUCAGCUUCACUCAGAAGACCUAGGUCUGGUUCUAUAACAGGGUCCCGGUAUAUCCAAUCCUGCUCAAGGUCGAUAUCAAGAUCCAGGUCUAUUUCACGACCAAGAAGCAGUCGAUCAAAAUACAGAUCUCCAUUUCCUAAAAGAAGACGUUUCCCAUCAGGAAGAUGACACCGAACUGCAAGUCUAGAAAGAAUGGACUGAAGUUCUCAAGGUCACCCUGAAAAGUCAUUUUGUUUACAUUAUUAUAAGGGAUUUGUUAUGUCUGUAAAGUGUAACCUAGGAAGGAUCGUCAACCAUCUAAUCACAAUGAAUGGAUUAUUACUGUGUAAAAUUCACAGCAGUAAAUAGUUUUUGUUGAAUGUAUUAACAUCUUAUGGUCUGAAAAUGUGGAUUUUUCUUUGACACAAAUAAAAUGUUUCUAACUAGA